GACGAACGCUGGCGGCGUGCCUAAUACAUGCAAGUAGAACGCUGAAGAGAGGAGCUUGCUCUUCUUGGAUGAGUUGCGAACGGGUGAGUAACGCGUAGGUAACCUGCCUUGUAGCGGGGGAUAACUAUUGGAAACGAUAGCUAAUACCGCAUAACAAUGGAUGACACAUGUCAUUUAUUUGAAAGGGGCAAUUGCUCCACUACAAGAUGGACCUGCGUUGUAUUAGCUAGUAGGUGAGGUAAUGGCUCACCUAGGCGACGAUACAUAGCCGACCUGAGAGGGUGAUCGGCCACACUGGGACUGGGACACGGCCCAGACUCCUACGGGGGGCAGCAGUAGGGAAUCUUCGGCAAUGGGGGCAACCCUGACCGAGCAACGCCGCGUGAGUGAAGAAGGGUGUCGGGUCGUAAAGGUCUGUUGUAAGUCAAGAACGGGUGUGAGGGUGGAAAGUUCACACUGUGACGGUAGCUUAACAGAAAGGGACGGCUAACUACGUG
rnacentral:rRNA from 1 species